ensembl:lncRNA
CACACUCCUGGCAAUGAGCAACAGCUGUAAGCGAGCACUGCUUCUCUGAGACUGAACCUGCAAAAAUGAGCUUGAGCGCAUGCACUAAACGAAGCGAGCUACCAGGUGAUUCCCAUGAAAGAGAUGAAGCCCAACCUGAGCAUAAGGCGAAGUCAAUGAGCUGAGCUCUCAAAGCCCCUCCAGGCUCUGAGGGAUGAGCUUGGCUGGGGGCUGUGGGUGCAUAGGGGCAGCCCCAGUGCUGUGGGAGCACUGCCAGUGCCUUCCUGAAAAAGCAAAGGGAGAAAGCAAACUGGGAGCGGUCAUCUGAAAAGGCAGCCUUCUUCUGCUUGUGUUUUUGUGCCACGCGUGCAUGUUUUACGGGACUGGGCUCUUGCAAGGGGACUCUGGUUGCCUGUGUUGGUUGACCUGGCAAAGAGCAGGAGGAUGAGGUGAGAAGACUGAUGGCCAUCUCCAAAAGCAGGUUGCAUCUCAUGGAAUGGUUUAGGUUGGAAGGGACCUCAAAGAUCACUGAAUUCCAGCCUCACUGCCAUGGCUACGGCUGCCCCCAACAGAUCAAGCUGCCCAGGGCCCCAUUCACCCCAGCCUUGGGUACCCCAGGGAUGAACGUGGCCAUCUCAGUGGGUUGUGGUGCAUCCGUGAUGUCCCAUCGAGGCUGCUCAGCUAUCACCAACCUCUCCUGCAUUGUGGAAGACAUUUUGGCAAAGGGGCUCUGAGCUUAGCUCUGCCAGUCGGCCUUGAGGGCCAUUAACAACCAGCCUCAAUCGGGGUUAUUUAUUCAUUAAUUUGCUGCAAAUGCAGCCCUAAAUGGUGGAAAUCUCCGUACUAAUAGAUGCUCUGGAAGAGAUUUGCAGCCAGGCACGGGUCUUAUCUCUAAUUAUGUGUCUGGCUGAGCUGCAUCUGGCUCCGGGGAUGUCUGGUUGUAUUUGGCUCCUGGAGCUUCUCUUGAAACCCACUGGGACCCCGGGCUGAGAGCAGUGCCAAUUAAUACCCACCACAGGGAGACGCAGCCGUGCGCCGUCUGGCUGUGAGCUGCAGGCGAGGGGGAGCCGUCCCGUGGGGAGCAGCAGCCCCAGGCAUCCGCACAGUGCCACUGGGAUACAGAAAUGGGGUCGGUGGGGCUGGGAAGGAGGCGGCUCUGUGAGAACUGUAGGAGAAAACUGAAAGAAAUGGGGAAGGCACACAAGCAAGCUAGAUUUUGAAAGUGCCUCCUUUACUAAAUGUCAUAGCCAUGUUGUUGCAAUGUUUCCAGAGCGCUUAUUUAUUUAUUUAUUUGUUUAUUUAUUUAUUUAUUCCUGAAAGAGCUAUUUGCAUUUAAAGAGGCUGACUGCAAGAGUGGGGGGGGGGGGAACACAAAAUGCCAUAUGAAAUGAGCAGAGUAACAGUUUUUAAAUGGGAACGCAGCCCUUCCAUCACCCCUCCAGAGGCCGCCAGGUCUCUGCAGCCUGGGUUCAUUGGGGUGAAGGCAGCUGGGUGAAAUCACUCCUAAUUUGCUCUCAUUUUCUCUUCUGCUGACGCGUAUUUUGCUUCUGUUUUGAGACCUGGGAAGCCCUGGUUCACCCCAUCCUACAGGGGUGCUCCCCGGGGCUGGGGGUGCGAGAAGGGUGGCUGGGGACUGGCUGGGGUCAGUGCGUGGCCAGGUGCCACCUGCCAUCCCUCAUCCCACACCGUCGUCCCGAGCAGGGUGUCCCCAUCGCAGGGGCUUUGCUCCCCUCUGCCGUCUCCAUCGCUCUGCAGCUCCGCAUCCUGCUCUCCUGUUGCUCAGAGAUGUGGAGGCAGUUGCUAAGAGACACCGAAACGUCAGUAUCUGGCCCUCAAGGAAAAAAAAAAAAAUAGAGAAAGAGAGAGACAAGGGAGGACGAGGAG